UUGCUUCGAUAGUGGGUGUUUUGUGGAAAGGACACUAUCAGCCAUUUUAAACCAGCACUCACAGGACCCUAACUCUUAAGUCUUGCCACUUUGCAGCUUUGAAGAUGUUUGAUCAUGGAAAGGAAAUAAGAAUAGAAUCCGACUGGGCAGUUAAAUAUUAAGUGUUUAUCUAAUAUGAAAACAAAUUUCCAAAAUGAAAUUAUUUGAUCAUGCCCUCAAAAAUACUAAGGUACAAAAAUAUUAAAUUUAUGUCUUGCUGUAACAUGUGCUUUCCAGACGUAUUUCACUUGCAGUUCAGGCAUGUGCUCCUAAAGUAUUUAGCUAUGCUGAAAACCACCCAGGAAUUAAACUGGAUGAAAGCAUGCUGAAGAAGUUGUUGGAGGUUUAAUUACCUUUUCUUUUUUUUUUCUCUUUAGUGGGAGUUCUGAAUUCUGGAGGAGUAAAACUCCAGUCUCUACUGUAUUGAAAUGAUAUUUUUUUAGCACUCCAAUCAUUGUCUCUACUUGACUAAGACAUUUCUGUGCUAAAGCAGGUGCAUUUACUUUUCAAGUAUUAUUUUACUAAUCAAUUGAAAAAUUACCUCCAUGAAUGACAGAAGUGCAGACCUUUGGAGUAUUUCAUUAAAAGGAGCAAACAUUAAUUACAAAUCCAGCCCAACCUUUGCAGACAUAAAUUAUGGGACGGAUCUAUUUUCUCCAUGCUUAAUUGCAAGCAGUGACUAGCUCUUUAAAUUAUUAUCUCCAAGGCAUGAAUGAAAUUAGAAUGGAUUUGGUGAUAUUCUCAAGGCUUAUUUGUAUCUAAAUAACUUGGCCAUAUACUGUCUGGAGAUAGAAGGAAAAUUAGGUGAAACACCUUUGAACCUUUCAGCAGUGCUAGCUUACCAUGAAAAAAUUGGGGAUUGCACAAUGGAAUUAGAACCUUAAAGUCUUUGCAGACCAGGAGGUCUAGAUGCAGGCUAAACAACAGGAUAAUUGAUAAUGUCCAAGUAUUUUUCUUCUAACCUAUAUUCUCAAAAUUUUAGAUGUUUGUAAUUUUUUGAAGCAUUCACGUUUCAGGCAGAGUAUUUCAGGCAGCACCUUUCCUGAAAAGUAAUAUUUACAUUUUAAGAAAAACAAGUAGUUUUCUAGUGAAGUAAAACCCCCUUCAUAUAUUAAGAAGGCUGAAAAUUUUGAUUUUGUAAUAGGCACAGAGCUGACAUGUUUAUGAUCAUAUCAAAAUCUGACAGGAAAAUAGAUGAAUUGAUUGCUCCAUUGAAACACACAGGGAACAGAAGGUGAAGUUGGCUGUGAUGAAGAGUGGGAAAUAGAUCAAGAAUGCAAAGAUUAUUUUUUAAUACAAUAAUGGAGACAUAUAUGUUUGUUUUUUAAAAAUGUAUAUAAUGAUUGCAUUGGAAACAGGAAGCCUUCUAUAAGGACUUUGUUUUUUAUAUACUACAGUGGGUGUAAACAAAUGAGUCUCACAAGACACCGUGUGUACUGCCUGACCCUUGUUUUUACUACCCUUCCACCACAAAAGUUAAUAAUUUGGCAUUGCAUACUUUAAAAAAAAAUAGAUAAUGACUUGCUUGGAGUUCAAUUUACUUGUUUCAUGAUACAGUAAAUACCAAGCUGAAUUCUCACAGUGUUAAUCAUUAACCUGGGAGAGGGCAUUUGCUUAAAAUGCAUUCUUUCAACUGUGAUGUUUUAUGAACACACUGGUAGAUAUUUCAACAGAAAUUUCAAAUAUGCUGAAGAUUUAAAUAAGUUCAAGUCCCCACAAAAGCCAAACUCUCUCCACCUUUUAACUUUUGGAUAUAAAGUUAUCCUCCAUCUCUGCUGCAGGAGCAGCCUCUGACAGCAGAAUAACAGGAGCUCUGCAGAGCUAGAUUGUUUGAGGUACAGAGGAAGCCCAGUUCAGAUUCAGAGGGCUUAAUCAUGGAAGACACCAUGCAAAGAGCAGGGCAGGGUACCUUUAAAAGGAACUCUGAUGGGAUGGAUUUUUUUUUUUAAUUUUCUACUUUGACAGAUUUCUCAGGCCCAUAGCAAAAUGUUUCUGGUACUGGGUUGAAGACUAACAAAACUAGAAGAUUUCUUGACAAAAAAUAUUCUGCUGAAAAACUGAGAUUUGUUCCAAAAAUUUGGAAAUACCUGUUCCAGCAGAGAGAGGACUUCAUGGGCUCCAUCAUUUUAAGUCUCUUGCUAUGGAGAGGGAAGAAUGAGAAAACAUAUUUCCUAGAAUUUUGGAAGUAUUAAUGUUUCCUUUCUUCUUCAUGGUAUUUCAUCUUAAUUUAAAAGUGAGGAGUUAAAGAUUGAUCUGGAGCUUGGGAAAAGCAUUCAAGCAGAGGACCACGGGGGACAGAGUGAACCCUUUACCCAUAUUGCUUGAGAAAGGCACUGCUUGGCAAUAUAUUCCUGGGAGUGAUAAUAUCAUAGGUAACCUAUUUGCUCUGGAAUCUAAACCAGAGCACCACACUUAAACGAGCUGCACCUACAGUGAAGGAAAAUAUAUUAUGAGGAUGUCCCUACUUACACAGGCCUUAAGGGAAUGUAUGGUUUUUCAGAGAUCUGGGCAAAUUACUCUGUUUUGAUAGUAUAUCAGUCUAUACUCUGGAAUCUAUACAUUGAUCAUGUACUUCAUAUUUUUUCAGUAAGAAAAACACCACCAACAAUUACUGGCUAUAAUGCCUUGCAGCUUAUGUACAGCUUCUAUAUAAGGAAGAAACACCUUAAGCAAAGUGUGAAAGUAGCACCAAUACAAUUUUAAAAAUGUAGAUAUGUUGGAGCAGAGAAGGCAAGAAAUUAGUUAAAUGAGAGUUUUAAGAAUUAAGAUACUUUCUUCUUCCAGGCUUAUGGAAAACAGAGCUGGUAGAAUACAUACUUUUAACCAACAGAAAUUUUUCCUUCUGAAUAUAGAAUUUCAGACAGAACUUUGCUUCAAGUUGUAAAAAUUGUGAAUGGAAAUAUUGAGGAAUCAUGAUUUUUAUAUAAAUAUUAACCACUGCUGUAUUAAUUCACGUUUUACAGUCUAAAUGCAGGCAAGUGCUUAGUCAGACAUUGCCAUGCAGUGAAACAGCGUGCAUUAAUUCCAGCUGAGCAGGAGUGUGAGCAGAGCCUGCUGAGAGUCAGAGCCCAGCUCCAGAGCACCUCCUGCCACCCUGGGGUCCCAGCCUUGCAGCCAGGGCUGCAGCACUGCUGGGGCUGUCCCCUGCUGCAGGGCUGGGCAGGGGUACAGCACAGGGCACAGGUGAGCUCCUCCAUCAGGAGCACAGGUGAGCAGUUCCAUCAGGAACACAGGGUGAGCAGAUCCAUCAGGAGCACAGGUGAGCAGAUCCAUCAGGAGCACAGGUGAGCAUGUGCCUGGAGCACUGCUCCCUGUGAUCCCAACAGGGCUGAAGGGAGGCACGAUCUGCUCGGUGUCUCCAUUUUUUGUGUGCAGAAGGACAAACUGGUGUGCACCACCAAGCCCCUGGUGUGAGCCAUGGGCUGGGAGCUGUGCUGGGAUACCAGCCCAUGGCUCCCAGCAGUGCUCCCAGCAGCCCUGCUCUGCACAGACAGACUGACAGACACUCAUGGGGCUGGCCAGGGCUGCCACUCUGGGCCCUGCAAAACACAACAGCUCUAACAGCAAGUUAUCUGUUCUCACUCUGAUUCUCCUCCUCCCUUUCUCCUUCUCUGUCCAGUGAACUCCAAAAUAACAACAAAGAGUAACAUCAAUACGAGCUCCAUCCAAAUGAAUGGAUAUGGAACAGACAUGCAUCUGUUCAGUGAUUCUGAGGUGAGCUGACUCCUUUCUGUGGCACCACUUCACCUUGCCUUGUUACAACCUGGUUUAUUUUUGUGGUUUUUUUGUUGAAAUCUGACAUUGAGUAACAGAUUAUUUUUAUUAUGUCUAUUUGAGCUACACCUACUAUUGAAAUACUCACAUCACUUGCAAACUGUAAACAACCUUGUUGCACAUUAUGUAAUCCCUGUGGAUUGAACUCUUGAAGGAUAAAGAUACAGAAUGGCUUGAAUAAUAGUUUUUGUUCUGUCCUCUGACAGAUGAAUAUGAAGAAUCACGUAUUUUGGCCAAAACAACUAAUUCCAGGUGAAUUUAUGUUCUUGAUGGGAGAUCUGCCAUGACAAACAAGAAGGGUUUGAUACAUUCUAGGCAAAAGUGGAAUAUCUUAAAUUAAAAGUUGCAGGAGGAUUGAGUGUUCCUACUAACCCUUCUAUUAAAUCUUCAUAACAGUA